rnacentral:rRNA from 1 species
CAGCCGCCGCGGUAAUACAGAGGGUGCGAGCGUUAAUCGGAUUUACUGGGCGUAAAGCGUGCGUAGGAGGCUUCUUAAGUCGGAUGUGAAAUCCCUGAGCUUAACUUAGGAAUUGCAUUCGAUACUGGGAAGCUAGAGUAUGGGAGAGGAUGGUAGAAUUCCAGGUGUAGCGGUGAAAUGCGUAGAGAUCUGGAGGAAUACCGAUGGCGAAGGCAGCCAUCUGGCCUAAUACUGACGCUGAGGUACGAAAGCAUGGGGAGCAAACAGGAUUAGAUACCCCUGUAGUCCCUGUCUCUUUACA